UUUUUUUUUUUUUUUUACUUUUGCAGUGAUUAACAUACAAAAAGCCAAAAACAGUCUACAGCUUGGUAACAUUUUAUACAUGUAUGCACCUGUGUAUGCACCUCCUAGAUAUAGCACUUUCCCAGCUUCCCAGAAGGUUCUCUCUUGAAGGUAAACCCUACUCUGUUCUCUAUCACCAUGCACACGCCCUUUCAAACACUAUGAUCUAGAGAAAGUAGCAUUGUGCAUAUUGUGAGAAGCUUGCUUUCAGGAGAGAGAGAAAAAGAGACAGAGGCAAGGAGAGAGGGAAAGAGAGAGGGAGGAAAGGAGAGAGAGAGAACAGGAGAGAGAAAAUAAGAGAGAGAAAAAGGAACUGAAUGAUGGCUGAGCAGUUGUUCCUUUAAAAUUUACCAAGCAGAUUAAGACCGCCUAGUCUCCCCUGGGAAGAAAUUGGGGAAGGGGAAGUGUUUAUAAUUGGCCAGGGAACUUAUGCUAGUAGGUCUCCCUUCACGUGGGAAGAAAUACCAGGAUUGGAGAAGAAGUCAAUCCCUAGGUGAAUAUGUAAAUCCUUAGAAGGUAGAUGAUGCUAUAACAAUACGCACAAAAUAUCGUAGGAUUAACAUGACACAUCUUCCGGGAGCAUCAAUUUUACUCAACAAGUUGGGGGAAUAUUAUUUUAAUACUAACACAAAUAUGGAGAUAUUUAUGGAACAGAAUUUAAAAUUCACAUGAAUUUUUAAAACAAAACAUAAUACUUUAAAGCUCUUUUAAGCUUGCUUUGGGCUGCUUUGGGCUAAGCCCCCAGGUCCCCCCAGGGGUAUAUGUUCAUUCCUCUGCCUAGGGUAACUUCAGUGAAAAAAAAGUCUGGAAGCUCUCCUAGGACACUGAGCAUGAAACCUUUGUUAAAGCACCGGCAUGAACUUGGCAAUGCUCGCAGAUUGCAAAGCAAAGAAGAGAGGGAUUCAGAAUCAGGAGAGACAGUCAUCAAAGUCACAUGGCCCAGGAGACAGAUAAACAGCACAGCCCCAAAUGGGUAAGCUGACUAACGGCCAGCAAAGAGGGAAGGAGGAAGGGAGGAUGAGAGGAAGAAUAUGAAGUCUAAAGACAGUGGCCAAGAUAACAAGGGAUGGCAGGACUUGAAGGUCAGGGCUGAGGCAGAAACAGGCAUUCCAACCUGUCUCCUGCUUUUUCUGAUCCAGGGAGCCAUGCCACACAACUCUGCCCAGCUUUGUCAGGGAUGUUCUCUGAGUGAGAUAGGUCACAUGGGAUUUUGUUUGCAGAUGGGUGGUGCUCACUCUUGUUCCCUGGCAGUUUAGUUUAGGUACACCUGGUGAUCAUAUCCUGCCACUCUAGAGACUAGAAGAGAUGAGAAUCCUGAGUCUAUCAAGUGGGACUUGCUGCCAGAAGUUAUAACGCUGGUACCUGUGGAAUUGAGGCAGAUAGAAUAUGGUAUGGCUGUCAGGUGUUAUUUAUUAUAAAUGUAAGGGAUUGUGUAAACUUGAAGGCGGGUGCAUUGUUUAAAAGCACUCAAAUGGGAAAACAACAACAACAACAACAAACCUGACUGGCUAGCCAGUCUAGCUUUUCUGCUGUAUUUGGUUUGCUGGAUAUCCUUUCUGUCUCCCUGUCACCUCUAACAGAACUUUUUUCCCUGUAAUCUCAACAUAUAGUUUUUUUUCUUUUAAUUCCCCUAAUAAUCAGUAGAAGCCAUGCUGUUAUUCACAUUUUCCAAAAAGAGAAGUCAAGGUCCAGAAAUGAAGUAAUUUUCUCAAGGCCACAAAACCAGUAGAAGUUAGGACCAAAUUAGAAACAAAGAUUUUUUUUUAAAUUUUUAAAUUGUGACAUCCACUUUAGAGCUCCCAAAACUCUGUAGAAUGUGUACUACAGACCAAAGAGGUAGAAAGCUAUGAUCCUCUGAAGAAACGUGGUUUGCAGAAUAUUUAUCCAUCGAAUAGUUAUCAAAUAUAAUAGUGCUAUUUAACAAAAUACAGUGACAACUUUGCUAUUUUAAAUAACAUGUCUCAAAAUAAACAAUAACAGCAAAGCUGGGACUCUUGAAAGUCAAGAGAAGAAAUGGUUAUUGAUUUGGAAAAAAAUAAUUGCUUUAACAGCAGAAACAUUUUAAUAUGAAACUUAAAAAGAAACUGUCAGCUGAUGUGGUCAAAGACUCAUUAAUAGACAGAUAUUGGACAGCUUUUUCACUAACUGUUAUCUUGGUGACAUCACUUUAUAUAAUGAAUUUUGAUUUUUUUUGGCAUAUGUGUACAAAAUCCAAUGAAACAUUGAAAAGAAAAAUGAUAAAAAUUAGUGAAGGUUAAUGACUUCUCUAACUAGGUGAUUGUUCACAGCAUUCAUUAUUAGCAGCAGAGUUUUUACAACUUAGCACUUUUGUUAUGUUCUACUUCUUGUUUUAUUUUUCUGAGAACGCUGUCAUGAAUGUUGAUUUCACUCAAUAACUGGAGAGUUCACAAAAUGCCUGUCAAAGCAGAAUUAGAUUCCGAGCCUGACCUGACUGAUGUCGCAAAUUUCUUUGACUUAGAAGUUAGAGACCCACCAUUAUUCAACGUUCUUUGACUGCCUUUCCCACUGUUUUGGUAGCCAAACACAGAUUUCUUUGCCUAGAACCAUCACCAUUUCAGUUAAAGAAAAUAGUAUCUUCUAAGUGCAUAUGUCCCCUCUUGAUUCCAGGCUUUUGGUAGCUAGAAUCGAGGCAUAAUGGUAUAACUCCACUAGCCACAGAAGCCUCAAUAAUGACUUUAAAACCACCCACACAAAAAGCUACCUCUCUCCUGGCUGUGAAGUCACAACGGAAAAACAUUAUUGUACCCUCACACUUGUGAACAAUUCUAUUGUUAACGAUGGUAUAUUAAGCCGGUGGCCUUAUUCAUUAGUACAAAAUACAGCAGAGUACAUUUUCAAGUGUGUGCUGUGAAUUGCAUACACGCUGCACAUUAUUGUCAUCAGCGCUGUGCUGAGGGAAUUUAGCAAAAACUGUUUAGAGGCACCCCAUAAUAGUUGUCUGUAAUUGUUUCAAAAUUGGUUUUCUGGGGUUUAGAGCUCAGUUUUUAUUAUUGUUGUUAUUUAUUAAUCUCAUUCUAUGACUGUCACAACUGAUC
rnacentral:lncRNA from 1 species